rnacentral:lncRNA from 1 species
UUGAAAAGUCCAUUCAUACAAGCACAAAAAUUCAAAAUCAUCUAAACUAAUUAGCUAAAACCCAUAGUCUAUCUAAAAUUGCAAACCAAGCUUAAAACGAAAUAGAAAGAAUCAAACAUAACAAGAAAACCAAACUAAUUAUACAAGUCGGAUUCAUUUUCAGAAAUAUAAGCCACUACAUUACAUAGCUUGCAACUCAAUCACAUAAACUCUCAUUUUUCCAUUUCACAUGUCAAAGAGAAUGGAGAUACCUGGUAACAAAUAAUAAGACUGAUGAGAAAAAUAAGCAGGGAGAAAAGCAGAAACUGCAGCAGUAAACCAGUAAGAAACCAACAAUGAAACAAUAAACCCAAAAACCAAAAGCUUCAAACCAAAUCUUCAGGUCCCCAAAAUCAAACUAUUUUAACCCGGGUGCAAGAAUAUGGGGUUUUCAGAAGUUCUAGCUACUAGAAAGGAUCACAAAAUAAAAAUUGAACUGAAUUUUGAGCUUUUUUUCCAAAUAAAAAUCCAGAAAUUUAAGUUAUAUCAGUGUUUUAUCAAGACCCCAACCGUUUCAGUGUUUUCAGAACUUUCU